CACAAGGGCGGCAGGGCAGAGCUCGGACGUCGGGGGGCCCGACUCCAGCUGUAAAACCGCGCCUGCCGGAACAGCGAGAAGUGCCACCUGCGGGGCCUUCCGCGGCAGCGUUAGCUUGCAGGGCACCGUACUGACAGGAGUUCCGCCCUGUCUGCCCACGCGGCCUAGGCCUCCUUUCGCCGCCGGCCUGCUGCUCAGCUGCCGGGUCUCCGGCUGUUCCCGCCCCUGUCCUCGCCAAUGGGGUUGCUGCAGAAGGGCAGCGGCAUCAGAAUUCUCAGAGACAACCACGGCUCAGAAACCAGCAGCAAGCCCCCCACACGUCCCCCUAAUUCUUACUACUAUACAACUUCUAUCGAACUGUCCAUACAUGAGGCAAGCAUGGGAGGGACCUUGCUUUGUCCAUGUAACACUUUGUAACACAAACAAGAUAUUAUGUAACCAGUUGGUUCCCAUCUGUUACUAUCUGCUAUUGAUUCAGAGAUCAAAAGGGAAUAUUAAUAUUUAGAUGAAACUUGGAUGCAAUAUCAUCAUUGAAGUUUGUAGUAAACGGUCUAUGAACUAAUUAAUGGAUAAUUACCUUAUUCUGAUGAAUGCAACUAUUAUCUGUGUAUACAUAGGAAACAGAGGUUUUACUUCAAAGCCACAAUGCUCUUCACCCAAGGAAUGCCUGCUGUCAAAAGACUAUCAAUGUUUUGCCAUAGAUCUAUAAAAGAACUCUUAAGGCCCUGAUUCUGUUCUCAGAUCUGCUUAAACUUGGUUGGUGGAAGCUGGAGUCACAAGACUGAGGUCUCCAGUGCCAGUCUGGAUUACCCUGCUGCUUCUCAUGGAAGAAUUUAUACAGAUUCUGCAUAUGGACUUGCCUAUUGGAUUAUAACCUAGGGAACUGAUUCUGAAAGAAUUUGGCAACUCAGCAGCUCACCAUCGCUAAUGUGAAACUAAGAACUUUAUACAUAUAUAUAUAUGAAUAAUGAUCUUUUAACCACAAUACUCUCUCUUUUUAAAUAAAUCUUAGUUUAAUUAAGAA